ACUAAAACCAUCAAUACAUAUCAGUUUGUUAUCAUAAAAAUCUGUUAACUUGCAGUAUUUUUUUACAAAGGAUUUCUUGACCCACUAUAUACCUAAUAAAGUAAUAGUUAGUGAUGAUAUUAGCUUAAACUAAAUCCAACUACUGUCCAUUUUCAUCGUUUCUUUGUAUGAUUCUUUUAUGAUCAGCUUUUCUUUGAAAGAUAUUCUUUCUAUCAAUCAUGUUGGACUCUUACCUAGGUUGUUUAUGUUGGGUAUAUCAUAAUUCACUUUCUCCUUGGUGAGGAAGCUGACUCCUAACAUAAGAAGAUUUUCAGGUGUAGUGACAGAGUGCAUUCAUCGUGUAAAACUGGAGACUAAUCUGGAUACCUAAUUUAUUUAUCAUCUGGAAACCUCAAUAACCAAGUACGAAAAAAUAUAAAGAUAAGCAUAGUGACAGAUUGCAUCUUGUAACGGGAAACUCGUGAAAUUAAAGGGAGGUUUUGGUUUUAAACAGCAGCGGGGAAAAACAGGUCGUAUGCGAUAAUUGACGAUUCAUACAAGCAAUCAACGCCAAAACCAUUACUCGUGGCACCAGGAGGGCAUCGACUGUGCGUAUCUGUGUGUGUGUGUUGUGUACAGUUUUUAUAGUUUAUGCAUUCAAUUGUUUCGUACGAAGGAUUUACAAAUUACGAAAAUUGGAGGAUCUACCUGACAAGAAGAUCGAGAGACAGCGAGAGAGAAAUCAGCAGCAGUAGUUCGUCGAGGCUCGAGGGUGAGACCAGAUGCAGUGAUAUCAGUUCGUAGUUGCGUCGAGGUGACCGGUGAGAGUAGCGAUAGAGAAGUCGAUG